AGAGAGGGAGACACAGGAUCUGAAGCAGACUCCAGGCUCCAAGCUGUCAGCACAGAGCUCAAUGUGGGGCUCGAACUCACAAAUCAUGAGAUCAUGACCUGAGCUGAAGUCAGAUGCCUAAAUGACUGAGCCACCCACGUGCCCCUCUCGUUGAAUAUAUAUAUACAAUUUUAUUCCAGUGAAAUCUUUGUACAACAAUGAAAUAUUUCUGACAAAAGUUCACACCUUUCAAAUAUUAUUCAAUAAAGCAACAUUCCAUCUGAUGAAAAACUUUAGUCAGGGAGUUUCUUAAGAUAAUUAUAAACAUAUAUGGUUUAUGUAUAUCUAUUAGAUUGCUCUAGAAAUAAUUUGAGUUAAGAGCACUAUAGAAGUAAUGCUUUCUCACUCUUAUAUAUAUAGUUUCUUUUCUAUCCCAUUAAAUGAAAAAAUUACCAAGUAGUUGUCAAAUGAUAUCAAAUGGCAUUCUUUUUUGCUUUUUCUGAAUGCAUACAAAUGCUCAUGUUGAUUUUCUCUUUCUCUUCUAACACAGUGAUAUACCUUAUGGUAUAGCUCCACUUUAUUCCCUCCCUUCAUUCCCUUUUAGUGAUGUCCUUCUCCAAUUUAAAUUGGUGUCAAAGAAAAUCCUUGUGUCACAGAAGCUGUUUAAAGAGGUUACUAAUGGCAGAAUUGAGAAUUAUGUAUCUUAUCUAAAAUACCUAUACUAUCAUCAGAGCUGGAGGUCACUUUAGAAAUCCCCUUCCAGGGGUGCCUGGGUGGCUCAGUCGGUUAAGUGUCCGACUUCGGCUCAGGUUAUGAUUUCGUGGUUUGUGGGUUCGAGCCCCGCAUGGGGCUCUGUGCUGACUGCUCAGAGCCUGGAGCCUGCUUCAGAUUCUGUGUCUCCCUCUCUCUGCCCCUCCCCCACUCUCACUUUGUCUUACUCUGUCUCUCAAAAAUAAAUAAGUGUAAAAAUAUUUUUUUUUAAAAAAGAAAUCCUUUUCCAGACUACUAAUUUUUCAAACAUUUUAUAGCAACUGGACUCCUUCCAAUGCAAAUGUAAGAUGCAGUAGAAAAAUGCAAUACUGUUCCAGCUGAUGCAAGGAUGAACUGCUCAGAUCCAUUUUUUAUUACUUUCUUUGUUGUGUCUGCAAUCCUUAAUGUUCAGGGUAAAAGUCCUUUUUUAACAACAGUUUUUCCUGCUAGGAAACUGAAGCAUAGAGAAAUUAUGUGGCUCAUCUAAAGGUAACCAGUUGUUAACAAAAUCAGAAGAAAAGUAAGUUCUCUUGAAUUCUUAUGUAGCUUUUCUUUACUGUUAAAAUUUGAAUUUUAAUAUUUGAAUUAUCCAUAUGAUUUCUUUUUAUUGCUUAAAGUGCCCUGGAUCACUUAUCACUUCAUCUGACCUAACUCAUGUAUAUGAAGAUACUAGUGCCAAACCUUUCCUAGAUUCCCCCUUCUCUGAGCUCAUGAUAACCUUAAAUCCCAGUAUAUAAGACUUUCAAUCUCUUAGACAGUUGAUUAUGCCAAAUGCUUAGCAUGGGGCCAAUAGAUGGCUCCAGGCUAUUGAUGAUUUCAUUAAAUCUUUCCCAAUCUAUUUAUUUACACAAUUUCAGCUGGAAAAAAAAUGCACUGAAAUGAAACAUCUCAUUUCCAGUCCUGGCCUGAGGCAAAAAGAGACAAUGAUACAUAUCCCCAAUUUAGACUAGACAAAACUAGCUACAUUUCAAAUAGAGAAUUCACAUUGUGAGUUUAAAACCAAGUUAACCUGAAAUGAGACAUUUUCUCCCUGUGUAUCUGUGCACAGCUUCAGUUGAUGGAACUAUGAACUGUGUAUCUGAACCAAAGGACCAAAUUUUUCUAAAGAAAUGUUAAAACUGGCAAAUUAACUCAAACACUGCCUUAGAGUUUCCCCCUCUGUUUUCUUUCCUGUUGUGGUGGUCACUGUGGCAUUCACUGGUGGCAGACAAAUGAAAAAGUGUUUUAUUGAAUUAUCUUGAUUGCCAUAUUGAUCAUUUUUUGUUGCUUUUGUUCCUAAGCACAGAAAGGAAAAAAAAAAAAAAAAAAAAAAGCAGCGAAGCAAGCUUCCCUUUGACCAAAAAAAAAAAAAAAAAAAAAAAGAUUUUAGGAUAGAGAAGCAAUUGGUUCCAGUGAAAAAUCAGUUAAGGAAAAUUUUCAAAAUGGAAGUAUAGUUUUGUUUUGUAAUGAGGGUUUGCCAAUUAGUCACAAAUGAACUUGAGCACAUUUUCUUGAUAAUCAUGAAGGAUGAUGGCUAAAUGGAUCAGCCACACAUAUUUUAUAGUUUGUACCCCUGCAGUGUGGGUCUUUACCUACUGUGUUUCAAGUACUUACAAAUUAAGUUGUUAAUGACUGAUCAAUAUUUUAAAGCUAAGUGUCACAAGAAACAAUUAGAUUACAUAAUUGAGUUUUAGCUAAUGUGAGUUUCUGCAGAAGUUCACGUGCUAAAAUAACAUUUCAACUUUACACUUGUCUUCUGCUAAGUUGUUUUAUUUUUCUCUUUCCCUCUUCAACAUCCUGAUCGGAUCUCCAGAUUUCCAAAUCAACUUUCAUUGUUCAAGACUCAGUGUAGAUUUCAAAUACCAGAGAGAGACAGAGCAUGAACAGGGGAGGAGCAGAGAGAGAGGGAGACACAGAAUCUGAAACAGGCUCCAGUCUCUGAGCUGUCAGCACAGAGCCCGACGUGGGGCUCGAACUCACGGACCGUGAGAUCAUGACCUGAGCCGAAGUUGGAUGCUUAACCGACCAAGCCACCCAGGCGCCCCAGGAAGAGUUUUUUAAAAAAAAAUUAGUACACCCUAUGUUUAUUUGUUUUAUUUCUUAAAUUUCACAGAUGAGUGAAAUCAUAUGGUAUUUGUCUUUCUCUGACUAACAUAUUUUACUUAGCAUAAUACUCUAGCUCCAUCCACAUCAUUGCAAAUGGCAAGGUUCCAAAAAGAGAGAGAGAGAGAGAGAGUGAGAGAGAGGAAAACCAAAAAACAGAUUUUUAACUGUAGAGAACAAACUAAUGGUUACCAGAGGGGUGGUGGGUGGGAGGAGGAGCUAUGGGUUAAAUAUGUUGGGAUUAAGGAGAGCGCUAGUUGUGAUAAACACCAGGUAUUGAAUGUGAGUGUUGAGUCACUAAAUUCUGUACCCAAAACCAGUAUUACAGUGUAUGUUAACUACCUGGAAUUUAAAUAAAAACUUGGAAAAACAAAUGUGUUUUUUUUUUUAAUUUAGUACAUGGUGCUAGUUUAGUUAAUCUAAAAGUUUGUAGCAGUUCACAUUUCUACCAAAAAUAUAUGAUUACCCAUUUAUCUGUAUCACUUACAGCAUUGAGUGUGAUUGCUUUUAUUGUUGUUUGUCUGAUCUCUCUCUCUUUUUAAACUAAUUUUUUGGUGAUUGCAUUAUUAAUUUAAUAUAUAAAUAUUUCAUGUGUCUUAGUGCACUAGGUGUUAAGGAUAUGGUGGCCGGCAAGAAAGAAAUAAUGUCAGCCUUCCUGAAUUCCAAUAGGCCAGGAAAUUAGUUUAUUAUUAAUUAACAAAUUUAUUUAUUGCCACACAUGUCAGAAGAAAAAUAUAUGGCGAUAAGCAAUAUUGUCUGCUAAGGUUUCCUGAAGGAAAUAACAACUAAGUCCAAACCUAACGGAUGAGUAGGUGAAGGAGAAAUGGGAUGAGAAGACCCUUCCAAACAGAUGAGGUAAAUUGAGCACAUGGUCUCAGAGGAACUAGAGAACCUGGGUAGUGCAUAGCAAGAGAAGUAAAGGAGAGCCCUGUAUUAUAUAACAGCUGGCCUCUUAAGCCAAGUUAAGGAGCAAUGAACAUUAAACACUAGAAAACACUGGAAAGAUUUUUUCUUUUCUUCUUUUUUUUUAAAUAUGAAAUUUAUUGUCAAAUUGGUUUCCAUACAACACCCAAUGCUCAUCCCAACAGGUGCCCUCCUCAAUGCCCAUCACCCACUUUCCUCUCCCCCCCCCCCAUCAACCCUCAGUUUAUUCUCAGUAUUUAAGAGUCUCUUGUGGUUUGCCUCCUUCCCUCUCUGUAACCUCCCCACCCCUUCUCCUCCCCCCCGGUCUUCUGUUGAGUUUCUCAGGAUCCACAUAUGAGUGAAAACAUAUGGUAUCUUUCUCUGCCUGACUUACUUCACUUAGCAUAAAAGCACUGGAAAGAUUUAUGCAGGACAGUGAUAUUACAAGAUUUGUAUUUUAGAAGAAUCUUCGAGUGCCUGGGUGGCUCAGUGGUUAUACCUCCAACAUCAGCUCAGGUCAUGAUCUCAUGGUUUAUGGGUUCAAGCCCUGUGUCAGGCUCUGUGCUGACAGCUCAUAGCCUGGAACCUGCUUCAUAUUCUGUGUCUCCUUCUCUCUGUGUCCCUCCCCUGCAUACACUCUGUCCCUCCCCCGCAUACACAGAAAUAGAUCAAUAACUCAAUAACUCAAUAACUCAAUAAAUAAAUAAAUGUUAAAAAAUUUUUAAAAAAGAAGAAGAAUCUGUACUAUGCAAAACUGAUUGGUUAAGAGUGGGUGCAAGAGAAGCAAUUCAAGUUAGAGAGUCUAGACCCCUGGAGUAAGGUAUAGAUGAGAUGAUGGAAAGAAGAAAUGGAGUUGGCAAAGUGGACAAGGCUUUGUGUUUUAUCGGAUGAGCCAAGUGAAGUAGAGAGGAGGGAUUAAAAGAUAUUUCCCAAAUUUCGCAUGUCAGCAAUUCGGUGAGUGGUGGUUCUGUUAACUAAAAAAGAAUAUUCCCUAGCUUAUAACUGGGAGCCAAGUUUCCAGGCAGGAAUGGGUUUAAUUCAAACAUGUUGAGUUUGAAUGCCUGCCAAAUGCCCUAGUAGAGAUGUUUAAUUGACAGCUGAGUAGAUGUGUCUGGAAUUUAUGGAUGUGCGUUGGAGAUUUUCCUUCCUUUGGUUCCUUUGUCGAAGAUAAAUUCCCAAAGUGGGUCAAAUGGUCUUUAACAUUUUUAUGGUUCUCAGCAUUCAUUACUAUAAUUUAAAAUUUUUUUUUCUCAUUUAUGUUUCUACUAGUAAUAUUUGACGAUCUCAUUUUAUCUCAUAAUUACUAUCAUUGAAUAAUGUCAUCAAUAUAGUUUAUCUUUGAAUAAGUGCCUGAACACAAAAUUUGUUUUAAUUUUCACUUCUUUAGUUUGCAUGGUAAACAAGGUAUGUUUAAUUAAUUUUAUUUCCUCUUGGGUGAAUUGACUGCUUCUGUUCUUUGUCUAGUCACUGCUUGUGUUAUCACCUAUGCAUUUGAGCUCAUUCAUUAAGUAAUCACUUGUUAGUUAAUUAUCAUCAUGCACUGCACAGUUACAUAACAGUUUGGAGCUCAGAAUAAAAAUGUAUGAGACACAGUCUCUGCCUUCAGAUCCAGAGAAACAAGAACUAUAAGAUUAAAAUAAUAUGUGCUUUGUGCCAUGAAAGAGAUAUGUCCAGGUGUUAUCUUAAGGGACAUCUGACCCCGACUGGGCAGGGAAUGAGACAGAGAGGGAAGCAACACCUGAGCUGAAAAGCAGUAGUAGCUAAGCCAGGAAAAGAGGUGGGUUAUGGGGAACAUUUGGGGUGUGUUGAGAGUGGGGUGGGUCAGGCAGAGGUAAUAGGCUAUAAAAUGGAAGAAAAUGUAUAGAGAAUAUUGUUGAGGUAUAAAAAUUAUUUCAGUAAAGGCAAGGCAUUGAGUGGAAGAGCAGAGAAAGGCAAAAAUAAUACUAAAAAGAUGAGCAGAGGUUGAUUACAAGGUAAGAUCUGUGGUAAAUCUGUAUUUUCUCAAUAUUUUACUUGAUGGAUCCAUUUUAGAAACCAUUCUAUUAUACACAGAAACCACACUUAAUUCCUCAUUAUCCGUAUGAGUAAUGGAAAUCAUAGGAUGGAAUUUGGUACAAGGUAUUGCAUUUUCUGCUCACUUUGACAUCAAAGAACUAAAGAAAGAUUUUAUUGUUUCUAUAUAGAUACAAAUAAAAAAAAUGAAGCUGGAUUAUAUUCUAUUCCAUUUAUGUCUUGAACUUUCUUCUUUCAGGUCUCAAGACCAUCUCCUUAGUAUAAGUGUUCAGUGAUUUUUGAAUGUUUCAAGGUUAACUGCCUACAAAGAUUUCCAUGGGCUAAUACAAAUUUGGAAAUGUGGGGUUAAUUUUAAAGAAUGUUAAAGGCUCUAUUCAUGCAAUCAGAAUUGAAAGAGAUGAAAAAUAUGGAAUUGAAAUAAACAACAAAAAACUGAUAGUUUAUGAAUCUCGUAUUUUCAGAUAUUCCUUCAUCUUCUUCUGGGAAGUAUUAACCCCACAAAUUUUAGGUUGUAAUUAUUCACCAGAUAGUUUGUAGGUAAGAUGCUAAACGGCUGCUAACAAAUGAAAAAUCAAAAAGAAAAACAAAAAACAAAACAAAACAAAAGGAAAACCCUAAAAAAACCCAAAACUCAAAUUCUACUCUCUGGUCCACACAGAAGGAUUAAUUGUUAUUUAUUAUUUAGUACAUUUGCUUAGAUUGUGCUUAAUUUUGUUCAGAAUCUUCAAUAAUACCAAAGUCAUCAAUUUUAACCGGAACAUAUAGUUUAUAAAGUUAAAUAGAACAACAAAGUACCUAACAUUUUAACAGUAAACUGUGUUUUAGGAUCUUUGAUGGCAUUGUAUUAUCUUAAAUUUGUGACAUAAAGCCAGGUACCUUAAACAGAAAACUAUACUUCUUCAUACUGCAAGUCAUAUUUUUUCAUGAGUAUAUGUUUGGUAACACUUGUGUAGUUCAUAAUCUCUGCCAUCAUAUGUAUUCAAAUAGAAAUGAAGUUGCCAUCAAAUUCUGAUUAAUUUAUUAGUUAUGCAGUUUUCAUUCAUGGUCUUUUUGAAAGUCUUCACAGAAGCUGAUUUUCACUUCAGCCGCCUUGACUGGUGGAUAUCAAAUCCAGUCCCAUCCACACUCUUGGUUUGAAGCAUAUAAAUGAAAAAGAAUUACUUUACUGUGAUAUUAGGGUCUAAAAACUUAUAUAAUUACUUAUCAAAACAAUGUAGCCUAAAUUUAAAAAUAUCAAGAAACAGUGUGAAGGCAAUUUAUACUUAUGCCUAAAAGUAACCUGUGCUACCACAUCAGAUGCGGAGAGACGGGAGUUUGAAGCCAAUGGCAUGUGCUAAUAAAUGCUGCAGUGUUACGCUUACAGGGCUGCUGUGCCAAAUAACCACAAACUCGGUGACUUACGUCAGAAAUGUAUUUUCUCACAGUUUGGGAGGCCAGAAGACUGAAAGCAAGACAUCACCAGAGUUGAUUUCUUCCAGAGGCUCUUCGAGUCUGUUCCAUGCUUCUCUUCUUGCCGCUGGUAAGAGUUAGCAAGCCACAGCUUUUCUUGGCUUAUAGAGGCUCACUCCACUCCUUGUCUCAAUCUUCCUAUCAUCUUCUUUCUGUAACCAACCUACCUCUUCUUUCUUUAAUAAGGAUACCAGUCAUUAGAUUUAGGGCUGACUGUAAAUCUAGGAUGAUCUCAGUUCAAGAUGCUUAAUUUAAUAACAUUUGCAAACACAUUAUUUCCAAAUAAAGUCAUAUUCACAGGUAUUGGGGUGAGGGCUUGGACAUAUCUUUUGGGGCAUGCUAUUUAAUCCAUUGCACUGCCAAAUGCUAGAUUGGAGAAAUUUUCCUAAAAAUAUGAUUAAUCCAAAGGCAGCAUAAUAAUUGCCUAAACACUAAAGAAAAAUACAUGAAUUAAAUAUAAAUUAUUGUGACCAAUUACAACUGAGUUGUAGAGAAAAUAAACUUUAUGUAUGAAAUAGUCUUUUACUCAAUAGAGCAUUUAAUAUAACCCUAAAUUAUCUAGACUGGAAAUUGUACAAUGGAAUGGGUAAUGUUUUCCACUCAGGAAUCAAAAUAAAAAAUAUUCAAAUAGAGUUUAGAAAUAACAUUUAUUUCAACCUAAUUCUUGAUCUUAUCCUAGGAGCUUGUAUAAGAGAAACAGUUCUGUAUAUUUUAUACUGCAUUUUGGAUUCUCUUAUAUUAGUUUGCAAACUUGGUUAAUGAAAAGAAUGUGGACUUUACAGUUCAGCAGACUUGGAUUUGAAUGUCAUAUCAUCACUGUUAAGCUGUGUGAUCCCGGAAAAGUAAAUUAACCUAUUUGUGUCCCAGCUUCCUCAUCCGUAAAAAGAACGUGGUAAUGCUAACUUCCCAGGUUAUUUUAACUUGCUGUUAGAAUAAACUUGAGGAAUUAUAUAAAUGGGACCUGAUAUAGGAGUUUUCAGUAUUAUGAACUUCUCUUUACUCUACUUGGCUGUUCAAGUCAUGGCCAGUCUGAUCAGGAACAAAACAAAACAAAACAAAACAAAAUGACUAGUGAAAUGCAAAAGACAUUUUUAAUUGAUAUUUUUCACCUUAACUCCCCUCAUGCAACUUGGAAUAGCUUAUGGAUGACUUCUCAUUAAUCUUACCAAUAUCUGAUUGUGAUAGAUAAGGAAUGUAGCAAAACUCUCUCUCCAUCUCUCUCUUUUCUCUUUCUCUCUGUCUCUGUCUCUC